CCCCUUUGGCAGUCCUCAAUGCACUAGCAUGCACUAAAACCAAAACACACAAGGAGAUUCAGCACUGUUAAGAAGAGAAAUCCAAGUUGACUUGGCAUGAAGCAGGAGGCUGAUUGAGAGCUUUGAAACCUCUUUAAACUUGGACAUUUCAAGAAUCCUGGAAGAGCACUAUUGUGAAAAAAACUAGGAGACCUGCCAGGAAUGAGUGUUUGGUUUCUGCUCUGGAGGUGCUUGAGAAGGGCAAUAGAUCUUAUCUCCAAGUCUUAUUUUCUAAAGAGGUUCCAAGCCAUCGAUACGCAUGAUCUUCAGCAUCCCAGCAGCCAUUUCCUGCUGACCGCUGAGCAGGAAGAGCACAUGACCCUGGCUGGAGCCGCCAAGAGGGUGGAGAUGAUCAGAAAUCCUUUCACUGUCAAAUUCAGAGAAGAAACAUGCUGAGAAGAGGCACUUCCUAUGCCAGGCCUACCUGUGCCGUGAGGAAUACAUGUAGGAGACACUAUUUGAAAAGGUCGCCACCUUGCUGGAACAACCAAUGCAGAGAUAAUGCUGGGCCCUCUAAUCAGUUGAACAGUGGCUUCAAAAAGAUAGGUCAAAGUUAUAAUCUCCUGCAGCUGUGCAUGUGACUUUCUUUGGAAAUAGGAUCUUGCAGGUAUGAUGAAGGUAAGGAUUUUAAGAUGAGAUCAUCAUAAAUUUAGAGUGGGUCCUACACCUGAUGACUCGUGUGCUUCUAAGGGAAGCAAAAGGGAGUUAUAACACAGGGACACCUGGAAGGCCAUGUGAAGGCAAAGGCUAACAUUGGAUUUAUGUUGCCACAAGCCAAGGAAUGACAGGGGUGCUGGCAACUGCAAGAACUGAGAAGACAGGCAUGGAACGAAUUCUUCCUCAGAACCUCCAGAAGGAACUCACCCUGCUGACACUUUGAUUUCAGACUCUGGCCUCCAGAACUGUGAAAGAACAAGUGUCUCUUGUUUUAAGCCACCCAGUUUGUGGUAAUUUGUCACAACAAUCCAAGGAAACUAAUAGAAACCCCACACAUUGGGUAUGAGCAUAGAAGUAAAUUGGAAAUGACUUACAUUGCCUUGACAUACUGGAAGAACCUGUUUUUCCAGAUCUACGUGACAAUUGAAACAAUAAUUUCUUUCUUUCUUUUUUAAGAGACAGGGCCUCUUCGCUCUGUCGCCCAGGCUGGAGUGCUGUGGUGCUAUCACAGCUCACUGCAGCCUUGAACUUCCAAGCUCAGGUGAUCUUCCCACUUCACUCUCCCAAGUAGCUGGUCCUGCAGGCACACCACCAUAUCUGGCUAAUUUUUCAAUUUUCUGUAGAGACAAGGGUCUCCCUACAUCGCCCAAACUGGUCUCAAACUUCUGGCCUCAAGCAAUCCUCACUCUGCAGCCUCCCAAAGUGCUGGGAUUACAGGGAUGAGCCAUCACAACUGGCCUCAGAAGGAAUAAUUUCUAUAUUAGACAGAGGACACAUGUUUAAAUUCUAGCAAUCUUGCCUGAAAUCUCUGCAAAAUUAAAGUGAGGGGCAAGAGGGAAGGCCUAAACUCAUACCCUUGGUGAAUUCAGGAUGCACCAGGGUUUUAUUUGCAGGAAGGCCCUGAGAAGCCUCAUGUGGACAGUGGUUAGAUCCUGUGGAAGUCUCCAGGGCUAAGGCUCUAAGUGAGUAGAGACCAGGGACUGCUCCUUCAUCUCCACGACAAUAUACAGAUGGAGAAGUGACUGGCACCAGGGAAGAAGGAGGGAGUAAAGGGAACCAGGUUUAGACUGAAAAUGGGGACAGUAUUAAGGUGCAGCCCAAUUUUGCAUCUUUCACCCUAUUUUAUGGCCCUCCUUCUUGCAUUGGGUAAUUAGAGAGGGUGUGAUGAUGGACUGAAACACAAGUCAAAUGAUUGAUUCAGCCGCCAGUGGAGAAGAGGCUGUGAAUGCAAGGUUCUGUUGCAGACUGAUGAACAGGUAGAAGGGUUGUUGCCCUACUUGGGCAGGAUGGCUGUUGGAGCAGAGCAAGAUGUAGCCACAAUUCUGGGUAGGAGCAGCCAUUUGUGACCUUGGCUCAGCAGUAAAGCAGCAUCCACAUCUAGGAGGGGUACAAAAAUAUUGACUAGAAGAAAACAAGGGUAAUUGCAGCAUCUUAAGCCUCAUUAGAAAAACCCCAUGGACCAUUUAACCAUGUAGAAUGAUUUGAGGGCCUCCUUUGUAUCUGUCAUUUGUUGGCCAGAUUUUGUUCAUUCUGCCAUCUCAAUAUCUUUUAAAUCUAUCUUUUCCAAUCUUGCACUUCAGUUUGUCUUUCUCUUGCAUACUCCUUACUCAUCUCCUUGCUUUUUGUCCCAUUCCUCCUAGGCCUAUCUUCCCCAGGCCUGCCAAAGGGAUCCUGCAAAAAAGCAAAUCUGAUCAUAUCCCAGCUCUCAGACCUCUCCACUCGAUGUCCAUCAGCUCCAGGAGGUGCCUUCCAAGGCCUGAAGGUUGACAGAUCCCCCAGGAUCCCCAGGGCCAGCCUACUCUGCAGCCUCACCUCCCAUGCUCCCCUUAUGCCAAUUCUCAGCAGGUUUCUCCCCUGCUUCAUCCCCUAAAUGUUACCCUCCAGUGAUAUUAUUGAUCACCUUCUGAGCAUGCGAUGCCUGCCUGUGACUUUCCACACAGUUUCCCUGAGUCAGGAAAUGUUCUUUUUGCUUGACAACCUGGCAAAGUCUGGUUAGCUUUCCAAUUCAGCUAGGACCAGAGCCUUCUCUUACCUUUACAUCUACCCACCACACCCCUGAAUUAAUUUAAUCUCUCCUCCCUCUCUACUACCUCUUUAAGUUAAACUUAAUCCUCUGCUGGUACCUGUUACACAAGUGUGAGAAUUGAGAAUUCUUACUGUUUAAAGGUCCACUUCCCUACUAGAGUGGAGUUUUGUUUUUUGUUUUUUUCUUUUUCUUUUUUUUUUUUUUUUUGAGAUGGAGUCUUGCUCUGUUACCAGGCCAUAGUGCAGUGGGGCGAUUUCAGCUCACUGUAACCUCCGCCUCCUGAGUUCAAGUGAUUCUCCUGCCUCAUCCUCCUGAGUAGCUGGGACUACAGGCACCCGCCACCAUGCUCAGCUAAUUUUUGUAUUUUUAGUAGAGAUGGGGUUUUACUAUGUUGGCCAGGAUGGUCUCAAUCUCUUGACCUUGUGAUCCACCCUCCUCAGCCUCCCAAAGUGCUGGGAUUACAGGCAUGAGCCACCACACCCCACCUAGAGUUGAGUUUUUUAAGAGCAGAACUGCACAGUGUGUACACAAUGAAUGACUGCUAAAUAAAAUAUGUUAAAGAAUCAGCUAA